UACGUAGGGGGCAAGGCGUUGUCCGGAUUCAUUGGGCGUAAAGAGCGUGUAGGCGGCCAGGUAGGUCGGUUGUGAAAACUGGAGGCUCAACCUUCAGAGGUCGACCGAAACCAUCUGGCUAGAGUCCGGGAGAGGAGAGUGGAAUUCCCGGUGUAGUGGUGAAAUGCGUAGAUAUCGGGAGGAACACCAGUGGCGAAGGCGACUUCCUGGCCUGUUCUUGACGCUGAGGCGCGAAAGCUAGGGUAGCAAACGGGG
rnacentral:rRNA from 1 species